UAUCUCAUUCAUUCACUCUCAAAACAAAAAACUCAUUUUUUUUCUCCUUCAAUCUCUCAACCUCCUCCUCGUCAUAUUCCAAACACCACAUCACACACAGUCCAAUGUUAAUCGAUCAAAAACCCAUCUCUGUCCUUGUUUCUUUGACCCACAAAACUUCACAAAAAUCUCAUCCGAUUCUCUUCUCUUCAACAGAUGCAGAUUGAGUUUCACAAUUCCUUCCUAUUUCUCAUAUGUAAUCACUCUUUCAAUCGUUUUCUAUAACUCGAUCCACGAAGAACGAUCGAUCGUAAUGCCACUCAUCGUAAACUUUUUCAUCAUGCGAUUCUGUUCUGUUUUUCAUAAAUUCUCUGUUUUUAUUCUUUUUUUUCCUUCUUCUUUUUGGCACUUUUGGUUGCGUAUUCCGCAAGUGUACUUGUUGAAUUGGAUUACCCUAAUAAUUCUCUGA